rnacentral:tRNA from 1 species
GCCCCUGUAGCUCAGUGGAUAGAGCAUCGGUUUCCUAAACCGUGUGCCCGGGUUCGAGUCCCGGCUGGGGCACCA